rnacentral:misc_RNA from 1 species
AACGCACAUUGCGCCCCUUGGUAUUCCGAGGGGCAUGCCUGUUCGAGCGUCAUUAUGACCACUCAAGCCUAGCUUGGUAUUGGGGUUCGCGGUCCUGCGGCUCUUAAAAUCAGUGGCGGCGCCAUCUGGCUCUAAGCGUAGUAAUCUUUCUCGCUACAGAGUCCCGGUGGAUGCUUGCCAGCAACCCCCUAUUUUCUUAGGUUGACCUCGGAUCAGGUAGGGAUACCCGCUGAACUUAA